GUAGGGGUAUUUUCGUAAUUUUUAAUCUUUAAUUUUUUUUAAAUUAUUGAAAUUGUUUCCAAAUCAACAACAAUAUAUAUACAUAGCAAUUAAUGACAUAAUUAUCCAACUCAUUAAUAUAUAUACACAAUUAAAUCAAAAGAACCAAUUAAUUGAUGACACGUGGCAUUUUUCAAAAUUAUUUAAUUUUAUUUGGCCUCCCACCCCCCAAAGCAUCUUGUCCAUCACCACCCAUCUCC
rnacentral:lncRNA from 1 species